AGCCGGAAUCCGGUCCUGCAUCCGUCCGGAAUGAUUUCCCCUGUUUCAGUAUAAAAUCGCAGACGAAAUACGAAUAGCUGCGAAAUCAAAGAUGUUUGGCGGCACUUAUGGACACGCUGAUUUCUAUUUCUUGCAGUGAAUUUAUGCAUUUUUCGCUUCUUAAGGAGAUGCCAAUGGAGCAGCCGAAGGAGGGUGAGAGAAAAGCUCAGCGAAGAGUUUUCCUGCAAGCACUUCAUUUGCAGCAUCUGUAGGAUGGAAAGCAUCCCAAAAUACGUACUCGCUAUGAUUCUUGCAUACCUUUGAGUUAGGUACACAAAGCCCUCCAAGUUUUGUGUCCACAUUGCAACAUGAUGUAUUCGAUACCUUAAAACCUGAUUUAGAAAAUUCAAAAUCAGCUUCA